AAAGAUAUAAAACUAUUAAUUUAGAUAGAGGAGUUAUUUAUGCAUGAUAAUCUAGGCUUAAUGCAAAAAAAUCAGAGAGAAGAUUACAUCAAAGUCGACUAUUUAGAUCUUAACAUCAGAAUCGAGAAUGGGGAAUAUAGAACAAAAGUUUUUUUAGGAAAAUUACAUACAAAUCUUUGUUUAUUCCCAAUACAGAGCAAGACCCAUGGGAAUACAGAAUGGCAUCAUUCCGUAUGUUGUUGAAUAGGGUGGAGACUCACUGUAAUAAUAUUGAAGAUACCGUAAAUCCACAGAAUUAGAAUGAUAUUACAGCAGGCAUUAAAACAUGCUUAUACUAGGAAGAGUAUCCUUAAACUCUGAGAAACAAUACAAAAUAAAAAGAAAUGCAAGUCAGAACAAGGAUGAAUUUAAGGAGACAUUGCAAAGUCACAAAUUCUAUCGAUUCUAAUAUCAAUAAUAAUUACUUAAACCUAACGGUUAAACGACUCUG
rnacentral:lncRNA from 1 species